GCAGCCGCCGCGGUAAUACAGAGGGUGCGAGCGUUAAUCGGAUUUACUGGGCGUAAAGCGUGCGUAGGCGGCUUUUUAAGUCGGAUGUGAAAUCCCUGAGCUUAACUUAGGAAUUGCAUUCGAUACUGGGAAGCUAGAGUAUGGGAGAGGAUGGUAGAAUUCCAGGUGUAGCGGUGAAAUGCGUAGAGAUCUGGAGGAAUACCGAUGGCGAAGGCAGCCAUCUGGCCUAAUACUGACGCUGAGGUACGAAAGCGUGGGGAGCAAACAGGAUUAGAGACCCCCGUAGUCCCUGUCUCUUAUAC
rnacentral:rRNA from 1 species